rnacentral:rRNA from 1 species
CUACGUGCCAGCAGCCGCGGUAAUACGGAAGGUCCAGGCGUUAUCCGGAUUUAUUGGGUUUAAAGGGAGCGUAGGCUGGAGAUUAAGUGUGUUGUGAAAUGUAGACGCUCAACGUCUGAAUUGCAGCGCAUACUGGUUUCCUUGAGUACGCACAACGUUGGCGGAAUUCGUCGUGUAGCGGUGAAAUGCUUAGAUAUGACGAAGAACUCCGAUUGCGAAGGCAGCUGACGGGAGCGCAACUGACGCUUAAGCUCGAAGGUGCGGGUAUCAAACAGGAUUAGAUACCCUGGUAGUCCGCACAGUAAACGAUGGAUGCCCGCUGUUGGUACCUGGUAUCAGCGGCUAAGCGAAAGCAUUAAGCAUCCCACCUGGGGAGUACGCCGGCAACGGUGAAACUCAAAGGAAUUGACGGGGGCCCGCACAAGCGGAGGAACAUGUGGUUUAAUUCGAUGAUACGCGAGGAACCUUACCCGGGCUUGAAUUGCAGAGGAAGGAUUUAGA